CCUCGUCUUGGGCUAUGCCCGUGUUCUUCAGGUACACAAACCCAACAUCAGUGAAAGCUGUGCGCAGGUCCCGGCUCAGCUCCGUCAGCUUCUCAUCCGUCACAUUUUCACCGAGACGAUACACUUCGAAAUCAAGCACGGGGAUCUCCAUGCCGGA